AACAGCCGCGGUAAUUCCAGCUCCAAUAGCGUAUAUUAAAGUUGUUGCAGUUAAAAAGCUCGUAGUUGAAUUUCGGGAUCAAUGCGUCGGUCGUGCUUUCGGGUACGUACUGGUGUCAUUGGUUUCUCCUUUCUGACGAGCCGUGAUGUCAUUAAUUUGGUGUUACGGGUAGUUAGGACUGUUACUUUGAAAAAAUUAGAGUGUUUAAAGCAGGCAUUAGCUUGAAUACAUUAGCAUGGAAUAAUGAAAUAGGACGUUCGAUCCUAUUUUGUUGGUUUCUAGGAUCAACGUAAUGAUUAAUAGGGAUAGUUGGGGGCAUUAGUAUUCAAUUGUCAGAGGUGAAAUUCUUGGAUUUAUUGAAGACUAACUACUGCGAA
rnacentral:sRNA from 1 species